rnacentral:rRNA from 1 species
GGUUUGAUCCUGGCUCAGAUUGAACGCUGGCGGGAUGCUUUACACAUGCAAGUCGAACGGCAGCACGGAUUUCGGUCUGGUGGCGAGUAUGAACGGGUGAGUAAUGUAUCGGAACGUGCCUAGUAGCGGGGGAUAACUACGAAAGCGUAGCUAAUACCGCAUACGCCCUUCGGGGAAAGCGGGGACCUCGGGCUUCGCACUAUUAGAGCGGCCGAUAUCGGAUUAGCUAGUUGGUGGGGUAACGGCUCACCAAGGCGACGAUCCGUAGCUGGUUUGAGAGGACGACCAGCCACACUGGGACUGGAGACACGGCCCAGACUCCUACGGGAGGCAGCAGUGGGGGAAUUUUGGACAAUGGGGAAACCUGAUCCAGCCAUCCCGCGUGUGUGAUGAAGGCCUUCGGGUUGUAAAGCACUUUUGGCAGGAAAGAAACGGCACGGAUAAUACCCCGUGCAACUGACGGUACCUGCAGAAUAAGCACCGGCUAACUACGUGCCAGCAGCCGCGGUAAUACGUAGGGUGCAAAAGCGUUAAUCGGAAUUACUGGGCGUAAAGCGUGCGCAGGCGGUUCGUAAAGAAAGAUGUGAAAAUCCCAGAGCUUCUAACUUUGGAACUGCAUUUUUAACUACCGAGCUAGAGUGUGUCAGAGGGAGGUGGAAUUCCGCGGUAGCAGUGAAAUGCGUAGAUAUGUGGAGGAACACCGAUGGCGAAGGCAGCCUCCUGGGAUAACACUGACGCUCAUGCACGAAAGCGUGGGAGCAAACAGGAUUAGAUACCCUGGUAGUCCACGCCCUAAACGAUGUCAACUAGCUGUUGGGGCCUCGGGCCUGUAGCGCAGCUAACGCGUGAAGUUGACCGCCUGGGGAGUACGGUCGCAAGAUUAAAAACUCAGCGAAUUGACGGGGACCCGCACAAGCGGUGGAUGAUGUGGAUUAAUUCGAUGCAACGCGAAAACCUUACCUACCCUUGACAUGUCUGAAUCCCGAAGAGAUUUGGAGUGCUCGCAAGAGAACCGGAACACAGGUGCUGCAAGGCUGUCGUCAGCUCGUGUCGUGAGAUGUUGGGUUAAGUCCCGCAACGAGCGCAACCCUUGUCAUUAGUUGCUGAAAAGGGCACUCUAAUGAGACUGCCGGUGACAAACCGGAGGAAGGUGGGGAUGACGUCAAGUCCUCAUGGCCCUUAUGGGUAGGGCUUCACACGUCAUACAAUGGUCGGGACAGAGGGUCGCCAACCCGCGAGGGGGAGCCAAUCCCAGAAACCUGAUCGUAGUCCGGAUCGCAGUCUGCAACUCGACUGCGUGAAGUCGGAAUCGCUAGUAAUCGCGGAUCAGCAUGUCGCGGUGAAUACGUUCCCGGGUCUUGUACACACCGCCCGUCACACCAUGGGAGUGGGUUUUACCAGAAGUAGUUAGCCUAACCGUAAGGAGGGCGAUUACCACGGUAGGAUCUCAUGACUGGGGUGAAGUCGUAACAAGGUA